GAGUUAUCUUUAGCUAUAAAAGUCCUAGGUGGCUGGCUGGGCAUGGUGGCUCAUGCCUGUAAUCCCAGCACUUUGGGAGGAUGAGGCGGGCAGAUCAUGAGGUCAGGAGUUCGAGACCAGCCUGGUCAGCAUGGUGAAACUCCAUCUCUACUAAAAAUACAAAAAAUUAGGCAGGCAUGGUGGUGUACACCUGUAGUCCCAACUACUUGGGAGGCUGAGGCAGGAAAAUUGUUUGAACCCAGCAUAUGGAGGUUGCAGUGAGCUGAGAUUGCACCACUGCACACCAGCCUGGGUGACAGAGUGAGACUCCAUCUCAAAAAAAAAAAAAAAGUCCUUGAUGGCAUCUUCUUCCAAUAGAAGACUGUUUUGCCUACAUGGAAAAUGUGUUGUUUAGUGUAGCCACCUUCAUCAGUGAUCUUAGCUCGAUCUUCUGUAGAACUUGAUGCAGCUUCCGCAUCAGCACUUGCUGCUUCACCUUGUACUUUUAUGUUCUGGAGAUGGCUUCUUUCCCUAAACCUCAGGAGCCAACUUAUGCUACCU
rnacentral:lncRNA from 10 species